CUCUCCGUCGCAGAGAUUCCCGUGGAGAAGAAGUGUUACUGAUCAGCGGAAAGCUCUGCGGAGAAUAGAGGUUUGGUUGUGAGAAAGUUAUAACUCAAUUGUUCGAAACAUCUAGAAGUUGCUGAAACGCAACCUCUCAGCAUGAUGUACUUGUUCUGUAUGUCAUAUCUGAGAACAAUUAAAAUGAUAAAAUCCAAAUAUGAAGUGCACUUAGAAUGUGAACAUAUACAAAAACACAGCUUUCCCUUACCUGUUAGCUAGAGUUUUAAGACGAAGCGUUGUAUAAAUAUUACUUACAUGAUAACUUUCAGACUGAUUAGACUGUUACCACCUAACCAUAAUGGACAUCAAGGGAAAUAUUUUGCCAUGAGAAUGUUUGGUAUUUUAAUUUCUUUUUAUGCAAUUAUGAAAAGUACCACAGACUAUAUCUAAUUUUGUUUUGCUACAUUGAUUCAUUUCGUCUUCCGCAUUCACAACGUAAAUGUUUGCAUCUUGUCUCAAAAUUAGAAGUCGAUUUCCUGGUUUAAAAGAAGAUGUUUCCAAAGUGUUUUUAUUUUGUGAUGUUGGUUGUCGUGUCCUUACAAUUGAAAGGUACAAGUCUUUUUGCGAUCCUGCAUUUAUAACGUGCUGAAUUAACCAUAAGAGCGAUAGAGAUUAGAGUUCGUAUCUACCGUGCACUGUAAAUUCAAGAGAGUGAAAAUUAAUCAUCUCAAAAGAGUCGUUCUGGAGACGAACGACCUUUGGGGUCAAACUCGACUCUGGAAAUAAUGGUGGCACACUGUCAGAUGCCGUUUACAAAUUUCAAAUUCAUUCAAAAUCAUUGGUCACGGUUUAAAAUCAUCAGAACAUACCUAAUUGUAUGAAUUUAUCACUGCACAUUUCAUAAGCCAUAUAGAGAGUCUGCCAGUUCGGAGCUCAAGACAACUGAAUCUAUUGGUAUAUCCCCAUGUAUGAAGGAGUAUUUUACGAACAACACACUGAAAAUCCAUGUCUGCCACAAAUAAGAAUCCGUGACAGGAAUUUUUUGGCUGAAUCAGUGUUGUAUCAGAGAAAAACAGAAAAUAGUCUACAACUAAAUUAUAGAAUAGAAAACGGGUGGAUUUGAUCGCUUUUAUUGCGCGCAUUGUUUAAUUUAAAUAUUUUUAGUUAUACAUUACUGUAAUUGAAUUUAAGAAUUUCUCGCAGCAAAUGUUAUCGCUGCACGUUUUUAGUGUUAUAUACCAUAGCAGACCUUAUCACUGAGGCACUAAAAUUAGCUAUACAUCACGAUUUCACCUUGCGUUCAUGAUAUAACGUGAAUAUAACGUUAACAAAAUUAAGAGAUUUAUAAAUGCUGACUUACACUGUCAAAGUUUAUGUGUUAAUAAGGUACACUUUCUAAUAUAAUAUGAUGAGCCGGCCACAGGAAUGUUUUACAUGACCUAUGAAAGAAUGAAAUAAACACAAAUUCUUGAAUAAUUGGUCACAGGAAAAAUAUGAUCAGAACCGAUAUUUACAGCGCAAUGACAAUCUGUGAAUAAAAUCGUACAGAGAAUACAGUAAGAGCUAGACCAAUAAUUUAUUUUUGCAUUGUUUUUCAGGUACAGCUUGUUUCUUUGUGAAACGGUUUUUGAGCUAUGGCUUUGGCUCUACCUCGGGCUCAGGACGUUGUAUGAGCGACACAGGUCAAAUACAGUCGAGCGGCAGUUGGGGAAACUUGUCUUUUCUGGAAUUUUCAGACAACAGCUGUCUGGAUCCAGCUGCUCAGUUUCGGUUUCGUGAUAAUGGUGCCAUGUUGAAUCUCAAAAGACAGGGAUGUCUCGCUGCUUUUCAUAGGAAUGGUUCUCGUUAUAAUCUUGAUAUGUUUUAUCUUUACGUUGACUCAGUCAGUUUAGAUACAGCUGCUUGUGCUCAGAAGCCUAACGAGAACAUCUAUCGUGCUAUCACCCAGACCCCCGAGGGAGGAUUAUCUAUUUAUCAUAAAGGGAAAGAUGAGAGUUCAUUUCAAACCUGGUGUGCAUAUUAUACAUAUAAUUCACAUCUUCUAAGAAAUUAUGGAAUAAAUCGCUACAUGGGAUUGACGAAACGAUCCACUGAUUAUAACCAGAGAUCUAGACAGAGAUUCAGUUUGGGUAAGUUUUUGUGAAAUAUUUUCUAAUGUCUGAAGAAAUAGAUAUUAAAUGAGAGCAGGGUAUAUUUUAAGAAAAAUUUACAACUGCACAUAUAGGGAUGUUACGAAAGCAACGGGUGUUUGACUGGGGGGGGGGCGGCGUGAAAGGAUUUUUACCUGCAUAUAAGUGACAGAAUAAUGGUGUGGUUGGGUGACAAACCGAGUGGGAGAAUUUGCGUGCGGGAGCUAGGGAGGGCGGGGGGGGGGGGCGUGCACGUGCUCCCAAAACCAUUUUCAAUCUAGCUCUUAAGUUCUGGCAAAGAUUUGUUCUACACAACCACUCACAAAAACUGUUUCAAAACAUGUAACUGGGAAUCAUGGAUAUUUAAUAUAUAACAACCUUAAAUUUGCUUUUCAGGUGGCAAAGAAUAUUAGGUUCCCCCAUCUAAUCUCUUUCGGGGAGCUUCGCUCGCCCCAAUUUUACCUUCUUUUCCAUUACCCCUGCACGUAAGUGAUUUGUGAGGAAAAUUUGUAGGGUCUGAGAUCCUCUCCCAGAAAACGUUUAUAUUUUUGAUGCUCAAUGACAGCAUUUCUGGCAUUUUCUGAAGCAUCCACAAGGGUAACGAAUAAAUUAGAAGACUGUUUUAAGGCUAUUUUUGUUCGUUUGGUGACUGCACAUUUGUGUUUUAAGAACUGCACAAAUGCAUGGGUUUAGAACUGCACAUUUUGUAUAGAACUGCACGUUAAAAUAAACCCUGAAUGAAACAAUACUAUACCUUUUCUUUUCACUCAAUCUGUUCAUUUGGCUCCUGUCCAUGAUUUCAAGUGAAUGUCCGUACAUAAAACAGAACAAGCAAAGAAAGGCGCAAAGCAUUGGAAAUUUACGAAUUUUAACGAAUGUGUACGACAUAGUCGACGCUUGCGGUUCGGUUCGCUUUCGCAAAAUUCAAAUCCGAAAAAUAGCCGUAAGAAAUCGGCGGUGAAACCGUAAAAUUUAUCGCGGUUUUUGCAGUUAGGUUAUUUCUAAUAACAAGCUCCUUCGUGGUCAAUUACAAUUUCCUUUGUAUUUUCCGCAUCAAUUAUUACGAAAAUUACAAAUACCAUGCAGCUAGUAANNNNNNNNNNNNNNNNNNNNCUGCAUAUAAGUGACAGAAUAAUGGUGUGGUUGGGUGACAAACCGAGUGGGAGAAUUUGCGUGCGGGAGCUAGGGAGGGCGGGGGGGGGGGCGUGCACGUGCUCCCAAAACUAUUUUCAAUCUAGCUCUUAAGUUCUGGCAAAGAUUUGUUCUACACAACCACUCACAAAAACUGUUUCAAAACAUGUAACUGGGAAUCAUGGAUAUUUAAUAUAUAACAACCUUAAAUUUGCUUUUCAGGUGGCAAAGAAUAUUAGGUUCCCCCGUUUUUGUUCGUUUGGUGACUGCACAUUUGUGUUUUAAGAACUGCACAAAUGCAUGGGUUUAGAACUGCACAUUUUGUAUAGAACUGCACGUUAAAAUAAACCCUGAAUGAAACAAUACUAUACCUUUUCUUUUCACUCAAUCUGUUCAUUUGGCUCCUGUCCAUGAUUUCAAGUGAAUGUCCGUACAUAAAACAGAACAAGCAAAGAAAGGCGCAAAGCAUUGGAAAUUUACGAAUUUUAACGAAUGUGUACGACAUAGUCGAGGCUUGCGGUUCGGUUCGCUUUCGCAAAAUUCAAAUCCGAAAAAUAGCCGUAAGAAAUCGGCGGUGAAACCGUAAAAUUUAUCGCGGUUUUUGCAGUUAGUUUAUUUCUAAUAACAAGCUCCUUCGUGGUCAAUUACAAUUUCCUUUGUAUUUUCCGCAUCAAUUAUUACGAAAAUUACAAAUACCAUGCAGCUAGUAACAGUGCGGAUGUUUAUAAAUUUGUGUAGCAAUGUACGAGAUUUAUUUUUUAUUUAUUUACAAGUUAUAUAAAUUUUCAUCCAAUCUGAAAUAAAAUUUAAUCGACAUCCUUGGCCAACGGCUACGGCCAUUAGCUCCCCAAAUUUCUCCACACAAAACACACAUGCACAUAUAAACAGCCAGGUGAAAACACAUAACCUCUUCACGGACGCCAAAUUAUAUUUUUGACAGUGCUGAACGAAAUGAAAAUAAUUUUUGUCAAAAAUAUUAUAUCCUGGCACAGUUUUAAAGUAGCAACGUUUAUUGUUCUAUUAAAGGUUCAGUGACAUGUUAUGGUGAUACAGUGAAGAAUGCCAACUGUCCUAAAGAUCAAUACAUGGUGGUCAAGUUUGCAACUUACCGUGGAUUGCUUGGCAACAAGACAUGUGGUUCAAGUGAUGAUUACAGUUGUGAAGUUGAUGUGACAUGUCUUUUUAAGAAACAAUGUGAUG
rnacentral:lncRNA from 1 species